rnacentral:rRNA from 1 species
UGGUAUCCUGUCUGAAUAUGGGGGGACCAUCCUCCAAGGCUAAAUACUCCUGACUGACCGAUAGUGAACCAGUACCGUGAGGGAAAGGCGAAAAGAACCCCGGCGAGGGGAGUGAAAAAGAACCUGAAACCGUGUACGUACAAGCAGUGGGAGCACAGGUUUACCUGUGUGACUGCGUACCUUUUGUAUAAUGGGUCAGCGACUUAUAUUCUGUAGCAAGGUUAACCGUAUAGGGGAGCCGGAGGGAAACCGAGUCUUAAUUGGGCGUUAAGUUGCAGGGUAUAGACCCGAAACCCGGUGAUCUAGCCAUGGGCAGGUUGAAGGUUGGGUAACACUAACUGGAGGACCGAACCGACUAAUGUUGAAAAAUUAGCGGAUGACCUGUGGCUGGGGGUGAAAGGCCAAUCAAACCGGGAGAUAGCUGGUUCUCCCCGAAAGCUAUUUAGGUAGCGCCUCGUGAAUUCAUCUCCGGGGGUAGAGCACUGUUUCGGCUAGGGGGCCAUCCCGGCUUACCAACCCGAUGCAAACUGCGAAUACCGGAGAAUGUUAUCACGGGAGACACACGGCGGGUGCUAACGUCCGUCGUGAAGAGGGAAACAACCCAGACCGCCAGCUAAGGUCCCAAAGUCAUGGUUAAGUGGGAAACGAUGUGGGAAGGCCCAGACAGCCAGGAUGUUGGCUUAGAAGCAGCCAUCAUUUAAAGAAAGCGUAAUAGCUCACUGGUCGAGUCGGCCUGCGCGGAAGAUGUAACGGGGCUAAACCAUG